CAAUAGCGUAUAUUUAAGUUGUUGCAGUUAAAAAGCUCGUAGUUGGAUUUCGGGUGGGACGCAGCGGUCUCGCAUUGCGUUUGUACUGCUGCAGUCCUCCUUCUUGCCGGGGGCGGCCUCUCGGACUUCACUGUCUGGGGGUCAGAAUCGGCGAUGUUACUUUGAGUAAAUUAGAGUGUUCAAAGCAAGCUUACGCUCUGAAUAUAAUAGCAUGGGAUAACACGACAGGACUCUGGCCUAUCGUGUUGGUCUAUAGGACCAGAGUAAUGAUUAAGAGGGACAGUCGGGGGCAUUCGUAUUCCGUUGUCAGAGGUGAAAUUCUUGGAUUUACGGAAGACGAACAUCUGCGAAAGCAUUUGCCAAGGAUGUUUNCAUUG
rnacentral:rRNA from 1 species